GUCUACGGCCAUGCCACCCUGAACAUGCCCAACCCCAUCUGAUCUCAGAAGCUAAGCAGGGUCGAGCCUGCUUAGUACUUGGAUGGGAGACCACCUAGGAAGACCAGGUGCUGUAGGCA
rnacentral:rRNA from 1 species